rnacentral:rRNA from 1 species
AUUGAACGCUGGCGGCAGGCCUAACACAUGCAAGUCGAGCGGAUGAAGGGAGCUUGCUCCUGGAUUCAGCGGCGGACGGGUGAGUAAUGCCUAGGAAUCUGCCUGGUAGUGGGGGAUAACGUCCGGAAACGGGCGCUAAUACCGCAUACGUCCUGAGGGAGAAAGUGGGGGAUCUUCGGACCUCACGCUAUCAGAUGUGCCUAGGUCGGAUUAGCUAGUUGGUGGGGUAAAGGCCCACCAAGGCGACGAUCCGUAACUGGUCUGAGAGGAUGAUCAGUCACACUGGAACUGAGACACGGUCCAGACUCCUACGGGAGGCAGCAGUGGGGAAUAUUGGACAAUGGGCGAAAGCCUGAUCCAGCCAUGCCGCGUGUGUGAAGAAGGUCUUCGGAUUGUAAAGCACUUUAAGUUGGGAGGAAGGGCAGUAAGUUAAUACCUUGCUGUUUUGACGUUACCAACAGAAUAAGCACCGGCUAACUUCGUG